rnacentral:rRNA from 1 species
UACGGAGGAUCCAAGCGUUAUCCGGAUUUAUUGGGUUUAAAGGGUGCGUAGGCGGCUUAUUAAGUCAGGGGUGAAAGACGGUGGCUCAACCAUCGCAGUGCCUUUGAUACAGAUGAGCUUGAAUAUACUUGAGGUAGGCGGAAUGUGACAAGUAGCGGUGAAAUGCAUAGAUAUGUCACAGAACACCGAUUGCGAAGGCAGCUUACCAAGGUAUGAUUGACGCUGAGGCACGAAAGCGUGGGGAUCAAACAGG